rnacentral:rRNA from 1 species
AUUGAACGCUGGCGGCAGGCUUAACACAUGCAAGUCGAGCGGAGCGAGGGUGCUUGCACCUUAGCUUAGCGGCGGACGGGUGAGUAAUGCUUAGGAAUCUGCCUAUUAGUGGGGGACAACAUUCCGAAAGGAAUGCUAAUACCGCAUACGCCCUACGGGGGAAAGCAGGGGAUCUUCGGACCUUGCGCUAAUAGAUGAGCCUAGGUCGGAUUAGCUAGUUGGUGGGGUAAAGGCCUACCAAGGCGACGAUCUGUAGCGGGUCUGAGAGGAUGAUCCGCCACACUGGGACUGAGACACGGCCCAGACUCCUACGGGAGGCAGCAGUGGGGAAUAUUGGACAAUGGGCGGAAGCCUGAUCCAGCCAUGCCGCGUGUGUGAAGAAGGCCUUUUGGUUGUAAAGCACUUUAAGCGAGGAGGAGGCUCUUAAGGUUAAUACCCUUGAUGAGUGGACGUUACUCGCAGAAUAAGCACCGGCUAACUCUGUGCCAGCCGCCGCAGUAAUAC